GAGAGAGUUUAACUAGAUUGCUAACCUAGUACACCAAAACUAACCCCUUGGCUCUCUCC
rnacentral:tRNA from 1 species